UUAGUUUUUAGGGUUCCGUAGCCAAAUGGCAAAAAACGGAACCCUUAUGGAUUCGUCAUGUCUUCAAAAAUGAUAUUGAGGUUUCUAAUAUCAUUUUUUUCUAAACUGAAUAGUUUGCGCGAGAGACACUUCCAAAGUGGUAAAAUGUGUCCAUGUCCACCCCCCCCCUCCCUGUAACUUCUGAAAUAAGAGAAUGAUAAAACUAAAAAAUAUAUAUGAUGUACAUUACCAUGCAAACUUCCACCGAAAAUUGGUUUGAACGAGAUCUAGUAAGUAGUUUUUUUUAAUACGUCAUAAA